rnacentral:lncRNA from 1 species
CCCAGCCUCGACGGGAUGGACGAGGUCCGUCUCGAUCUGCUCCAGGGUGCAGGAGCAGCCGGUUAGCCGUUCGGCCACGUCCGCUGCCCAAGCGUGCAUUGGGACCCCAUCCAGGCAGAGACGCACUUUGAACAUUAGAGCGGCACCGAGGGCGUUUUGCAGGCUGCGCCAUUUGAUGAAGUGAACCUCAAUGCCGCAACGCUUGGCGAAACCUUUC